UUACAUAUUAGUAUUGUAAGCUAAAAGGGGUUGGUCAUCUUAUGAAAAGGAGAGGCAUCAAGGAUUUGCUUUUGUGAGAACCAAGGCUGCCAAGCAAUGGUGGACGAAUAAAGCAAUCAAGCAAUCAAACCAGAAUGCUCAGAAGCAAAAAACUAAAGCAGACACACACACUCUCUCUCUCGCUCUCUCUCUCUCUGUCGAUAUUUGACAUUGGUCAUGAGACGUAUGCUGCAAAAACAGUUAUUGUGAGUAGAAAAUGUACAUGUUGAGCAAAAAAUUAAAGCAGACACUCACUCACUCUCUCUCUCGCUCUCGAUAUUUGAUAUUAGUCAUGGACGUAGACUGCAAAAGUAGUUAUUGUGAGUAGAAAAUGUGAUAUGCAUUAUGCAUAUGGUGGUGGCAAAAGGGAAAGCAAAGAAAUAAAAGAGGAAUGGUUGCUGUUGAUGAAGCCUGAUGAGAGACUGACAGAGCUACGCCAUUUUGGAAGAGCAAAGCAAUCAAAGACUAAAUCAAACCAUGCAGGGCUCGGAAUUCCACGACCUCAAUUUUUAUUGCAAAUAUAACUUACACGACAGCCCACAUAAGAGUCUCGAGCUCAGAAGGUCAUCAAUUUGUAGCUUGACAAUGCCACCACCACCACCCCAAUGCCCUGCAACUAAUCUCCCCCUUUCGUGGUCGAGAGAGGGCAGAGGUUUAUGUAGCUCUAUCAUGCCAGAUCAGUGGUAUUUUGGGCUUAGGUCGGUCAAUUGAAUUAUUUGCAAAUGGCUAAUUUUGUACUAAAGAUACUAGACCACAUGUUUGUUUUCUCUAUUACAAUGGAGGAAGUCAAAUCUUGAACCCGUUCUAA